UUUAUGCCGGCGACCGGCGCACGGGUGAGUAACACGUAUGCAACCUGCCCCUGUCAGGGGGACAACCCGCCGAAAGGCGGGCUAAACCCGCGUACAUGCCACCGGGGCAUCCCGGAGGCAGGAAAAGGCUUCGGCCGGACAGGGAUGGGCAUGCGGCGCAUUAGGCAGUAGGCGGGGUAACGGCCCACCUAACCGACGAUGCGUAGGGGUUCUGAGAGGAAGGUCCCCCACACUGGUACUGAGACACGGACCAGACUCCUACGGGAGGCAGCAG
rnacentral:rRNA from 1 species